CUGCACGCUGUCUCCUCGGGAGAUUGGAGACGGUUGCUCUGCAGCCACACAACCUCAGUUCCAAAGACAUUGCUAAUCUUUAAGGGGGAUUCAUCUCUGCUGCCAUGGGAUUUCAAGAUUGUUGGACUGAAAAACAACAACAAUUUAAAAAGUUCACACUUGAUCCAUAACUCAAGGGCCCUGGACCUGUGCGGUUGUCAACUAAAUAGAACAGAAAAUAUCGAUGCAAGUCAUCAAAGAGAGAGAAAAUAGGAGCAUGUCGAAUUCUUUCCUUUCUGAUGGACCACUGGAUGAACAGUGAGGAAAACAGGAAGUGCCAACCAUUGAUGAAACAAUCAAGAUUAUACUUACUUUUUGGUUGGCACUGUGCUCCGCCAUGAGGAAAUGAGUCAGCCUUCCUCUGGUCCCCAGAAACAAGUGGGGUGCAUUGUUCUCUCAGAAGACUGGAAAUCCAGCUCUCUCAGAGUCUUAUCUGCAUGAGCACUGGUCUCUGUGAUUAUCAUUUCCAGUGCUUUUAUAUAACAGCAAAAUUCAUCUUAAACUAGGAAAUUAGCCUCAAAACAUUCUACAGAUGGGAACUUAGACCCCAAAUCCAUGAAUUUUUCUCAAGAUGCAAAUGUACUAUUUCAUUUCAUUUUCAAGGCUGACCUUUCUCUCUUGUGCUUCAUCUUAGCAUCAUGGGUUGGUAAAUGUAUUCCAUUUUCUAUUGAUGUUGUAUUAUUAUUGCCAUAUUUCCAUAGCAGAAACUAUGAAGGAGGGAAAAGAGCAAAAAAUAAAAUUGAAGAAAGAAAGAAAAAUGCAGAAUAUCAGUCAGGCUUGACAAGUUUCCCCUAAGAAUAGAUUACCUAGUCUAAUGUUGUGGAAAAAUGACUGCUAUACAUCAGGAGAAGAGGUCAGGAAAUUAAACUUUAUGUGUCCUGUCUGGGGGAAAAAAAGGAGUUUGGCUGAAAAAUAGAAUCUUUCAUAUCUUGGUGAAAUUUUUGAAUGUUUCAUUUUUGUUUUGAAACAAACUGAAAACAAGGAAAGAAUAAAAAUAAUAAUAACUAACUUCACUGUAGAAGUGACAAGAAGUCACUUGGAGGUGUCUGCAAGGUCACAAUGGGUUGGUUACACAGGGACCAGAGAAUACGGCAGAAAGAUUAAAGACAGUCUUUGGCUUCUGUGAACAAGUUCUCUAUAAUCGGCUGUGGUGAACCUUAGUAAGGUAACACCUUAGAGGAACUGACCAAAGAACUGAAGAAAGAUUGUGACACAUAACUGGAGUGUAAGUUUUUCAAAAUAUUCUCCAUGUGAGGAAAACACCCAUCCUCUCUUCUUGGUGAUUUGACUUACCCGUCUGCCUCUCCCUUUUCUCUGAGUGGCUUCCUUCUUCACACCGUUGUCAUUCCUUUCCCUGUUUGCAUUUUAUGCUGCCAAUAAUUCUCAACUGGCAAGGAUAAUUAGUAUGCUCAUAGCCUCCACAUAAAUUUACCAUCAUCUAUUCAGUUAGGAAGUUUUAACUAUUGGUAGUUCCAUAGUGCCACAAGAUCCUUUAUUCCACGCCUAUUAAUAAUAUUCCUACCACAAACGUAUGCAAAAGUCUUAAUAAUGGGAAAAACUUACAACUUUUAAUAUUCUCAAUUCUACUUCAGUUUUCAUUUGGUAAUUUCCCUACUUUGGCUUUUGGCUUGGUAAAUGAAAGGUGAAAUCUGGCAUGCACUUCAUUCCUGACAGUCUCAUUUAUCAGGUUCUGCUCUGAGCUUAGAAAUCUAUUUGUUCCAGAAGGGCAAUAACUCCUUAAUAGUAAGCACCUGGCUUGCUUUCUUAUAAUCCUUGCUUCUCAUCAUUGUUAGCUAUUGUGCCCAGGAAUGUUUUCUGUCUUCCAUAACCCUGAAGUCUUCUGUAAAAUUUCCCCAUGAUCCUUUUCUUUUCUUUCUCCUGUCCUUCAAACUCGUUCAUUUCCCCUUUUCAACGGUGAACUAAACCAGGGACUAAUUGAAAUUAGUCAUUUUAGAAUUGAAAAUUGAAAUUAGUGAGUUACCAGGCGGCA